AAACAAGAGUGGUAUCUUUCUAUCAGAUGAUUGUGGCCAACAUGCUGGAUAAAUGCCAAAAGGGCAACAAGAAGUUUACUAUACCAUUUUCAAAUUUAUAAUAUUAUGGGCAGUGUGUAUGCUGUGCAUAACCCAAAUGCAGUAAAUCAUCAAUUUGAUUUUGAGAUUAAUAUUUCUCACCUAGAAAUAUUUUAGUGAAGUUUCAAUUUUUAAUAAGACACAUCAACACAUACUCACUAGUCAUAAUACUUGUACACUACCAGAAAAAAUAGAACUCAGAACUGGAGCUGAUUUUGCAAAACAAUUGGCAGGCAUAAUUGUAAGCUGUAACCUUGAAAGAAGUUUCCAACUCCCAGAUAAAUGAAUCAAAUAUAUGAAAAUAAAUGAGUAGAACAGAUACAUAGGAGAGGUUACAUCACUGUUGUCAAUAGCAUG
rnacentral:misc_RNA from 1 species